UACAGAGGGGGCAAGCGUUGUUCGGAAUUACUGGGCGUAAAGGGCGCGUAGGUGGCCUUCUAAGUCGAACGUGAAAUCCCUGGGCUCAACCCAGGAACUGCGUCCGAGACUGGGAGGCUUGAAUCCGGGAGAGGGAUGCGGAAUUCCAGGUGUAGCGGUGAAAUGCGUAGAUAUCUGGAGGAACACCGGUGGCGAAGGCGGCAUCCUGGACCAACACUGACGCUGAGGAGCGAAAGCCAGGGGAGCAAACGGG
rnacentral:rRNA from 1 species